rnacentral:rRNA from 1 species
UACGGAAGGUCCGGGCGUUAUCCGGAUUUAUUGGGUUUAAAGGGAGCGUAGGCGGACUUUCAAGUCAGUGGUAAAAUCGUGUGGCUCAACCAUACCUCGCCAUUGAAACUGGAAGUCUGGAGUGCACACAGGGGUGCCGGAAUUCAUGGUGUAGCGGUGAAAUGCUUAGAUAUCAUGAAGAACUCCGAUCGCGAAGGCAAGUGCCCGGGGUGCAACUGACGCUGAGGCUCGAAGGUGCGGGUAUCGAACAGG